AAGUAGGCGGUCUGGCGGCAGAUCAGGCCACUAGAGUUCCGGUUAUUGGGAAGGGGUAUUUUUAUCGGUGAAAGAGUUGGUUUAAACUCUGGUUUUGGAGGUUCUAUGUGGUUUCAGAUGUCAUUAGAGAAAGAUAUCAGUGUGGUAUGAAGAUCAUUUCGGUAGUGCCUUUCGGGUUAAUGAUUAAAUCUAUGUGUGGUUAAGGAAUGAUUUCUAGGGAGAAAUCUAAUUCAAGUGGGGUUGAAUUGUAACAUCUGGAUUUUCAGGGUUAUUAUUGUGUAGUUUAAUCUUUUGAUUAAAGGAGAGACUCGACGAGUCGAGUGGGGUUUUUCACGCGGAUUUAAUGAGUGGAAUCGACGAGUCAGAGGAGGGAAUCGCCGAGUAGGUGUCGGGCAGAGAAACCCUAAUUUCUCGGGUUUGGGACCUAUUUAAAGGUCCUUAUGGCCUUCAUUUGCGGCCACUACACCCUGAGAAACCAUAGAGAGCAGAGAGGAAGCUUGUGGUGCAAGAGGAGGGCUAAUUCAUCAGUCUUUGGGGUGUCUUAGCAAAGGGAAGGAAGGAUUUCGAGUUGGGCUGUCUUGUGGGACUCAAAUCUUCCAUCAUUUCGUUCAGAGCUGCUGUAAGGGGUAAGGAUUCAUGUCCAUCUUCGUUUUAUUUCAUGAAUCUAGGGUUUCUUCAUGCUUUAUUUAGCUUGAAUCUAGAGUAUGAGAGGUCUCGUGGUGAAAUGAUUAUUAGAUCUUGACCUUAAGAGGUCCAGAGAGUCCCUUCCAUUCUGCUUUAUGACUUUUCCUUGGAGUUAUGAGCUAGGGUUGUCAUGAUAUGAUGGAUUUCACCAAAAUAAGCAUAGANUAAGUAUGAAACCCAUAUGAGAUACAGAGGCUUUUCGUGGUUAUUGGUCAUAGGGAAGUCAGAUCUAUGGAUUAGAGGAACGGAUCUGACCUCAGAAGGCUAGAUGAGUGUUGUCAUGGGAGCAACGCGCCGAGUUCAUGAGAGGACUCGACGAGUCGAGUCAGGGUUGCCCCGCGACUCAUACCAGGCGUAACUCGUCGAGCAAGGGGUUGGCUCGACGUGUCAAGCGAGGCUAGAAGGAGGAUUCCAUGGUCACGUGUGGACUCGACGAUUCGCCCAUGUGCACUCGACGAGUCGGGUCAAAGUUUGACCGUUGACUUUCGUUGACUUUAGGGUUUUGGUCAAGACUGACUUAAGAGAGUUUAGGGAAGGGUAGAAUGGUCUUCUACCCAAUCUUUAGAGCUGAGACAAUGAGAGAGUGUUGAUUGGGGAUGUUAUUUGAAUAAUAAGAGGAGGCCAGGUCGGGACGUUGAGCACGAGAGUUCAUCCGACUUCGUUUGAGGUGAGUCUUCUCACUAUACUUUACCUGGAGUGUAAUAGAGUUAUGUGACAUAGUUAUUGUAUGCUCUCUAUUCGAUGUGUGGCACUGCAUUAUUUCUAUGUGAUUUUUUCUUUGUGUAUAUCAGAGUGAGGACCAGAAGGUCCACAGGGCUAGGACCAGAGGGUCCACAGAGUUAGGUUUAGAGUUAUGUCCCAUUGUAUUUGUAUGCUAUUUAUUUUAUGAGAUUUAUUGUGAUAUGUGAUAUGAAUGAUUCAGAGUUAUCAAAUUUAGGAUCUUUGGGUCCAUAGAGUUAGAGCCAGAGGGUCCAUAGAGAGUUGGGACUGGAGGGUCCCACUGAGACACACUGACCAGAGGGUCAACAAAGUUAUAGCCCUGAGUGGCUAAUAUGUGUUAGAGUGGUAUUUUCGGGAACUCACUAAGCUUCGUGCUUACAGAGUUUUGUGUUAUAUGUUUCAGGUUUUCUCAGGAUCACGGGACGGCACCGGCUCGAUUGUACACACCAGAGGAAGCAUUUGUUUUGGAGGAUCCUGGUUUAUUAAUUGAUUGAACAAAAGACUCAUGAUUUUUAAUUUAAAUAAAAAUGAGAUUUUUAUGAAAAGUGUUAAAGUGAUAAGCGAAUUUAAAUGAAAAAAUUAUUUUGAAAAUUACGGUGUUACACAUGGGUUCCACAAAGCACAAAGGAAGCAACAUUCGGGCAUCGAGCAACCUCCACCAGCUCAUAAAACCACUCUAGCAUACAACUCCAACAGCUCUAUCCACAACACACAAGGCAUCAUCGAACUCAGGCAAUCCUACCUCUCAAAUCCUCGCAGAUCUCAAAUCAUACAUAUGAAAUACUACCAGUUCACAUAACAGGCAUAAAGGCAUCUCCUCUAAGCUGGCACACUAGCAUGCAAUUCUGAGCAAAUCCCCAGCCCUAUACUAGCAUGCAGUUCUAUCAACUCAUAAUUUUUGGAUUAGGUUUUUAAGCCCAUAACUAUAACUGGGAUGUACUUGACCCGAUUGUAGCAUGGUACUUUUGGGUUGCCUUCACCAGUGCAAUUUGAUAGGAUGGACUUUUGAGAAUAAGGGUAUUUGAGAUUUAUUAAUAUAUUAUAAGCAUAAUAUAUUAAUUGAGAAAUCAUAUUAUUUAAUUAGUAUUGAUCAAGAAUUAAUUUCGAAUUAAUUUAGUGAUCAAAAGAGACUAAUUAAAUAUACGGGGACUGAUUAAGUAAAUCAAUGAUUCUUAUAGUGUGGGCCAAAGAUCCAAGGUUAAUUAGGAUCUAGGAAUAUCAAUCAAUUUAAAACUUAAUAAUCAAUCUCGUUUUUCAUGGUGGAAAUUGGUAAACAGUCGUUUACCUACCUUCAAAUAUUUUGCAAUUGGGUUAUGACAUCCCUCUUCCAAAUUGUAAAAUAUUGUGUUGGGUCCUAUCCUUAAUAUUUCAUUUGGGUAUUAUAUUAAGGAUUCUCAUCUAAUCUAAACUUUGUACUUUUUCUUUUCGGAUGUCUAUCCCAAAUAAUGCUUCAGACUCCAAUCCUUCUAGCUCAUUCUCCCUCGUGAAUUUGGUAGGGAGAACUAUCUUCGAUGAGUCAAACUUUAACGAUUGGAUAAGAAACAUUCGUAUGGUCCUUUGCUAUAAGGACAAAGAAUAUGUCCUGGGUAAAGAGCUGAAGGAGAUUGAUAAACAAACUGCUACUCCCGAACAAAUCGAGGAAUGCAGGGUUCAUGAGAGGGUCACGACAAAGGUGUCGUGUAUUAUGAUUGCUACCAUGACUGCUGAGCUUCAAAAGUCCUAUGUGGACUUUUGGCCGUUUGAAAUGCACCAAGAUUUGAUGGAAAGGAACCAUCAAAGUGCUCGGUAGGAGAGGUAUGAGAUCAUUGCCUCCAUGAUCACAACCAAGAUGAAGGAUGAAGAGUCCAUCACGGCCCACUUGAAAAAGAUUUAGAGAUAUGUGUACUUCUUGCUGAAGUUAAAUGUGAACUUCGAUGAAGAGUUGGCCAUUGAUAUCAUCGUACACUCGUUGCCUUCUUGUUAUGAUAAUUUCCGCAUGACCUAUCAUAUGAACAAGGAGGAGGUCACUCUUAGCAAGCUUCAAGGCCUUCUAAGAACUACAAAAAGCAACUUGAAAGGCAAGUCGGUUGUAAUUACUCCUACUACUGCUGCUGCCCCUGUUUUGGCAAUUGGACAUGGAAAGGGAAGAAGAGGAAGGCUCCUUCCAAGAGCUGCAAGGGAAAGUCUCUUGAUGGAUCCUCUUCCAGUGGGACUAAAGCUGGUUCCGCUAAUCCCUCUACCAAUCCAAAGGAUGCAUAGUGCUUCCAUUGUCAUGAAAAAGGGCACUGGAAACGAAGCUGCCCCAAAUACUUGCAGAACAUUAAGGAUGGGAAGAUAAAGCGCACCUUUGUAGGUAUUUACACUAUUCUUUCUAAUAACUCACCACAUGCUAAUUCUUGGGUCCUUGAUACAGGUUGUCAAUUUCACAUUUGUUCUGAUGUGCAGGGACUACAAGGAAGUAGGGACGUGGAGCACGGAAAGAUAAACUUAAUCAUGGGAAAUUAGAAAAUGUCGUAUGUCACCAAGAUUUGAGUUUAUUCUUCAUUGCUUAGUAGUGAGUUAGAAUUAGAAUUGAAUAAUUGUUGUUACUCGUCGAAAACGGUGAGAAAUAUUAUUUCCUUUCACAGUUUGUGGAAACAAGGUUUUACCUUUUCUUUUGAUAAUGAAGUUGGUAGUAUUAAUGCUUAAUAUAAUGGUACAUUUUAUUUUGAAGCAUUACCUUGUAAUAGUAUAUAUGAAUGGUUGUAGAUAACCUAGGAAAUAAUGUGUUGAAUAUUGAUUCGUCCAAUGUGUUGGACAAGGCAUUGUUGUGGCAUUGUCGUCUUGGACAUGUCAACAAGAAGCGAAUAGGCCAACUCCAAAAGGCUGGAGUUUUCGAGUCAUUCGACUUGAAGUCGGAUGACACUUGUGAAUCUUGUCUGCUUGGAAAAAUGACCAAGUCACCCUUCGCUGCUACUUGUGAAAAGGGUGAAGGUUUGUUGGAUCUCAUACACACUGAUGUGUGUGGAACCUUCAGAACCACCACAAGGGAUGCUAAUCGAUUCUAUGUGAGUUUUACUGAUGAUUACAAUAGAUAUGGCUAUAUCUACUUAAUCAAGCAUAAGUCAGAAACCUUUGAAAAGUGCAAAGAGUUUAAGCAAGAAGUGGAGAAUCAAUUGGGAAGGAAGAUAAAGAUGCUGAGAUCCGAUCAAGGAGGAGAGUAUCUUAGUAUCAAGUUCCUAGACUAUCUUAAGGAAUGUGGAAUUGUUUCAUAAUUGACGCCACCUAGCACACCAUAUCUUAAUGGUGUGGCUGAGAGGCGCAAUCGAACCUUGUUGGACAUGGUUCGUUCCAUAAUGAGUCAAGCUUUGUUAACUAUCUCAUUCUGGGGGUAUGCCUUAGAGACUGCCACUCAUAUCCUUAAUCUAGUCCCUACUAAGAAGGUUGCCAAAACACCUCACGAGAUGUGGAUAAGGGAAAUUCCCUAGUUGGAUCACAUAAAAGUUUGGGGUUGCGAGGAUUUUGUGAGAAAAGAAACUCACGACAAGAUCAAACCUCGUAGUGAGCAAUGUAUUUUCAUCGGCUACCCACAAAAAUCCUUUGGAUAUCUCUUCUAUAGACCGAGUGACAAUGUUGUCUUCGUUGCGAGGAGAGGAGUCUUUCGAGAGUGAACUCAUAUGCCAAGAGGACAGUGGGAGGCAAAUUGACCUUGAGCAACUUCAAGAGUUAAGUAAAGAAGGAACCUCAAACACUGGCGCUCAACAAGAGGAGGAAACUCCUGUUGAACCGAUUGACCAGUCCGUACCUCUGAGACGUUACCAGUAGAGUUAGUGUUCCACCUAUGUUAUAUGGUUUUCAUAUAACAUCUGAGGGUCAUAAAUUUAUUAGUGAUAGCACAUUGAUAAAUCUGGAUGAACCUAAGACCUACAAGGAAGCCAUGGCAGGCCCGAGUCUGCUAAAUAGAAAGAGGCAAUGGACAGCGAGAAUCAAUCCAUGUAUGACAAUCAAGUUUUGCAACAACCCGUUACUUUUCAAGUCAAAUCCGAAAAAUAAAAUUUCUAGUUUUAUUUACUUAUUUCGUUAAGUCCGUGAGGGUUAGAAACUAAAUUAAAUUAUAUAAAUAAUGUUUACGCAAGUUUUCGGAAUAAAAAACACUCGAAAAUCAACAUCUUUUCCAUCAAAACCGAAAACCCUCGCACCAGAACCCUUUCGGCCGAAAACCUUAGGACCAAUAAGAGAUUCGGCCGAAAUCUAUUUUCCGGCCGAAAACCCAACUGUCUAUAAGGUUUUCCUUUGAAAACUUAACCAUUUCUCACCGUUUACACUCGAAAACACUCUCGUUUUGCACCCAAGGAUCGCCCAAGAACAUUCACACCUUCAAGUGAAAACCUUCAAAUCUUCAUAUCCUCAUAAAGAUCACCAAGAACACCAAUAACAUCAAGAACAUCCUUCAAACCUUCAAACAACUGAAACACCCAUGACCGAGAACUUGUGUUCUACUGAGAACCGUUUUUGGCCGAGAACCCCUUGGAACCGAAAUCUCUCUUCAACACUUAAACAAUUCUCGGUAAUUAUUCCAAACAAGUGUUAUCUAACAUUUUAAGUAAUGGUUUCGAUAAUUUAAAUACGAUUAUGUGUUAACUAUUAUUAUGAUAUCGUUAAUCCCGUGCACCUCAAUCUGAGGAUCAUCUCUACAGCACCGUUAUCAUUACACAAACACAUACCAGAGGUGAGUUCAUACCCCAACCUUUUCAGCAUUUUUAAUGUUUUUAGGGGGAGAAUACAAGUAAAACACAAGGAAUUUGUGUUUAUACAAACUUUUUAAUAGUUUUAAAACCUUUGCAAUCAAUUCAAACCUAGUAUUCGCUACAUUUCAUAAAAAUAUUCUUAUAUUUUAAUCCUUUUGUAACAUGUCGAGCAUAAGGGUGUUAUACUUUCGUACAAUUAAGUUGCAAACAUUUUCAGUAUACUACAGAACAUUACAGUUAAACUAUAAUUGGUAUAGUUUGAGAAUCAUUACACUAUUUUGCUAAGUACAAUACACAGAAUUAGAACAUUUAUUCAAACUAUAAUAGGUAUAGUUUGGGAAGGGCUGCUCUAAUACAUUGGUACAAGUAUACACUACAAAAAUAAUUAUUUAAGUAUAAUUAUUUUACAUUACAAAGCACUACACUAACACUUUAAGUAACGGUUUCGCUAAUUUAAAUACGAUCAUGUGUAAACUAUUAUUAGGAUACCGUUAAUUCCGUGCACCUCAAUCCGAGGAUCAUCUCUACAACACCGUUAUCAUUACACAAACACAUAGCAGAGGUGAGUUCAUACCUCUACCUUUUCAAGGUUUUUAAUGUUUUUAGGGGGAGAAUACAAGUAAAACACAAGGACUUUGUGUUUAUACAAACCUUUUUAACAGUUUUAAACACUGUUUUGAAAACCGGACCGGACCGGCCGGUUGAACCGGUUCAACCGGAAACCGGUCAGGUUACCGGUUUUUUGUAGCCCAAAAACCGGUUGUUAUUGAACCAAUAAAAAACCAGCCGGUUCACAAAAAACCGGUUUAAACCAGACUGGUUCGACCAAAAAAAACCGGCUUGAAUAAUAUAUAACUAUACCGGGGACUUUUAAAAAACAAAACCUAGCCUAGAAAACCCAACACGUGUUUUCUUUUGUUUAAGUUGAAUCAAUUUGCGUCUGCUAUAUAUAAAACAAUAUAAGUCUAGUUUUUUAUUACACCCACCGAUGUGGGAUAUAACACAACGCAAACUUGGAUAUCUUCUUUACUUUUUCUACUUUUCUUCUUGACUCCUAAAACAAACAUAUACCCUUUGCUUCUCGUUCAAUAAUCAAUACUUUCAAUCCAUUUUUAAUUUUCAAAGAAAUUAAUUAAAUAACUUUUAUGCUUUUAUACAUGUAUAUAGUUAUAAUUCUGUUCGUUGUUAAAGAAAAGCAAAUUUAUUAAAUACUUUAUUGUGCAAUAUACUUUUCAUUUUCCUNUAUAUAUAUAUAUACGGUUUUUAGGACCGGUCCGACCGGUUGGACCAAUUGAACCAUCGAACCGCUAAGACGGCCGGUUCGAUGUCCGGUCCGGUUUUCAAAACCUUGGUUUUAAAUUCUUUGCAAUCAAUUCAAACCGAGUAUUCACUACAUUUCAUAAAAAUAUUCUUAUAUUCUAACCCUUUUGUAACAUGUCGAGCAUAAGGGUGUUAUACUUUAAUAUAAUUAAGUUUCAAACAUUUUCAGUAUACUACAGAACAUUACAAUUAAACUAUAAUUGGUAUACUUUGAGAAUCACUACACUAUUUUACUAAGUAUAAUACACAGUAUUAGAACAUUUAUUCAAACUAUAGUAGAUAUAGUUUGGGAAGCACUGCUCUAAUACAUUGAUGCAAGUAUACACUACUAAAAUAAUUAUUUAAGUAUAAUUAUUUUACAUUACAAAGCACUAGUCUAACACUUUAACUAAUGGUUUCACUAAUUUAAAUAUGAUUAUGUGUUAACUAUUAUUAGGAACAUAGUCAUCAGUUGAGACAAGUCUUAGAAACAUUAAGGACGGAAAAGCUUUACACGCAGUUCUCAAAGUGUGAAUUUUGGAUUAGGAAGGUAAACUUCCUUGGUCAUGUGGUCAGCGAAGAAGGAACACACGUGGACCUUCCAAAAUAAAGGCGAUAGAGAACUGGUCAGCACCCAGAACGCCUGUAGAAAUCCGUCAAUUUCUAGGACUUGCUGGCUACUACUGCAGGUUCAUACAAAACUUCUCCGGAAUCGCUAAACCGCUUAUUACCUUGACUCAGAAGGGUGUAACUUUUAGCUAGGGAGAAAAAUAAGACACUGCGUUCUAUACAUUGAAGCAAGCCCUAUGCAGCGCACCUAUCCUGUCUCUUCCAGAAGGGACAUAAGAUUUCUUUGUAUACUGCGAUGCAUCCAAUAAAGGGCUAGGCUGUGUGCUUAUGCAGCGAGGAAAAGUGAUUACUUAUGCCUCGAGUUAGCUAAAGACACACGAGGUCAACUACAAUACUCAUGAUCUUGAGUUAGGAGCGGUAGUAUUUUCUCUAAAGAUCUGGAGACAUUACCUCUACGGUACUAAGUACACUAUCUUCACCGACCACAAAAGCCUUCAAAACAACUUGGAUCAGAAGGAUCUUAACACGAGACAAUGACGAUGGGUAGAGCUACUUAAUUAUUACGAAUGCGAAAUUCGCUAUCAGCUCGGUAUAACCAAUGUAGUAGCCGAUGCCCUUAGCCGAAAGGAGUACUCUAGUCGUAGAGGGAAGGCACUAACCAUGACAAUCCAUUCAUAUCUGUCCACUCAAAUCAAGGAGGCUCAGUUAGAGGCUUUGAAGCCGAAUAAUGUGGUAGAUGAAGCUCUAAGAGGAAUGGAGAAAAACUCAGAAAUCAAAGAUGAUGGAGUUCGUUACUUCAUAAAUCGGAUCUAGACACCGAAGAUUGGUGGAUUCCGAGAGGUUGUCAUGAACGAAGCCCACAAGACACGUUACUCCAUUCAUCCAGGUUCAAAUAAGAUAUAUCUGGAUCUCAAGAAACUGCAUUGGUGGCCGAACAUGAAAGCCGAGAUUGCUACCUUUGUGGGCAAGUGCCUAACUUGUGUGAAAGUCAAGGUAGAAUAUCAAAAGCCCUCAAGUUUACUUCAGUAGCUAGAGAUACCUGAGUGGAAGUGGGAGCGGAUUACAAUGGAUUUCAUAACCAAGUUGCCCAAGACCCCGGGUGGUCAUGACACCAUUUGGGUAAUCAUCGACCGAUUAACCAAGUCCGCCCACUUCCUACCAAUAAAGGAGUUAGACAAGAUGGAGAAAUUGUCCAAAACUUACAUCAAAGAGAUUGUACGACUGCACGGUGUACCAAUCUCUAUUAUCUAUGAUAGAGACAGUAGAUUCACCUCAAGAUUUUGGCAGUCGCUAAAGAAAUCUCUAGGGACUAGGCUGGAUAUGAGCACAGCUUACCAUCCACAAACCGACGGGCAGAGUGAGAGAACUAUACAAACCCUAGAAGACAUGAUGAGAGCCUGUGUGAUUGACUUUGGUAAGCAUGGGAUACCUAUUUUCGAUUAGUCGAGUUUUCAUACAACAAUAACUACCACUCUAGCAUCAAGGUUGCCCUGUUCGAAGCCCUAUAUGGCCGCAAGUGUAGAUCCCCUUUGUGUUGGGCCGAAGUAGGAGACACGCAAGUAGCUAGAGGCCAUGUUCCUAACAUCACUCUCACGUGACCGAAAAUCAUUCCGGAAACCACAUAAAAGAUUGUCCAAAUCCAAGAACGACUAAAAGCCUCUAGAGAUAGGCAAAUUAGCUAUGCAGACAAGAGGCGAAAACCCUUGGAAUUAUAGAUUGGUGAACGUGUUUUGUUGAAGGUCUCACCUUGGAAGGGCAUGAUACGCUUCGGAAAGCGUGGAAAACUAAAUCCAAGGUGCAUAGGACCGUUCAAAAUCCUCGCUAAAAUCGGCCCAAUAGCUUACAAAAUCCGUCUACCAUAAGAACUUAACAACGUACACCUUUUCUUCCACGUGUCAAAUUUAAAGAAAUGUUUAUCCGAUGAAAAUCUUUUGAUUCCACUCAACAAGAUCGAAGUAAAGGAGAGUCUUAAUUUUGAGGAAGAACCCAUAGAAAUUAUGGAUAGGGAAGUCAAGCGAACGAAACAAAGUCGCAUAUUGAUAGUGAAGGUUUGCUGGAAUGCCAAGCGGGCACUGAAUUUACUUGGGAGCAAGAGGAUCAAAUGAAACAAAAGUACCCACACCUUUUUCCUAGUCCAUGAUGUAUUCUUCUUAGAAUAAAUUUUGGGAAAAAAUUCCCUCUAUCGGGGGGAUGAUGUAACAACCCGUUACUUUUCAAGUCAAAUCCGGAAAAUAAAAUUUUGAGUUUUAAUUAUUUAUUUUGCCAAGUCCGUGAGUGUUAGAAAUUAGUUUAAAUUAUAUAAAUAAUGUUUACAUAAGUUUUCGGAAUCAAAAACACUCGAAAAUCAACAUCUUUUCCAUCGAAACCGAAAACCCUCGCAGCAGAACCCUUUUCGGCCGAAAACCUUUGGACCGAAAACUGAUUUCGUCUGAAAUCUCUUUUCCAGCCAAAAACCCAACUGUAUAUAAGUUUUUCUUUUGGAAAAUUAACCAUUUCUCACUAUUUACACUCGAAAACACUCUCAUUUUGCUCCCGAGGAUCAUCCAUGAACAUUCAUACCUUCAAGUGAAAAACUUCAAAUCUUCAUAUCUUUAUGAAGAACACGAUGAACACCAAUAACAUCCUUCAAACCUUCAAGUGACCGAAAACACCCAGGACCAAGGACUUGUGUUCGGCCGAGAACCAUUUUUGGCUGAGAACCCCUUGGAAUCGAAAACUCUUUUCAACACUUAUACAAUUCUUGGUAAUUAUUCCAAACACAAAACAAGUGUUUUCUAACAGUUUAUGUAAUGGUUUCGCUAAUUUAAAUACGAUUAUGUGUUAACUAUUAUUAGGAUACCAUUAAUUCCGUGCACCUCAAUCCGGGGAUCAUCUCUACAACACCGUUAUGAUUACACAGACACAUACCGGAGGUGAGUUCGUACCCCUGCCUUUUCAAUGUUUUAAAUGUAUUUAGGGGGAGAAUACAAGUAAAACACAAGGAAUUUGUGUUUGUACAAACCUUUUUAAUAGUUUUAAAACCUUUGCAGUCAAUUCAAACCGAGUAGUCACUACAUUUCAUAAAAAUAUUCUUAUAUUUAAACCCUUUUGUAACAUGUCGAGCAUAAGGGUGUUAUACUUUCAUACAAUUAAGUUGAAAACAUUUUCAGUACACUACAGAACAUUACAGUUAAACUAUAAUUGGUAUAGUUUGAGAAUCACUACACUAUUUUGCUAAGUACAAUACACAGAAUUAGAACAUUUAUUCAAACUAUAGUAGGUAUAGUUUGGGAAGGACUGCUCUAAUACAUUGAUACAAUUAUACACUACUAAAAUAAUUAUUUAAGUAUACUUAUUUUACAUUACAAAGUACAUUAUUAUAAGGCAAUAUAUAUAGUUUAUAGUACAAGAGAACACUACAACACUACAUGUAAACUAGUUAAUACACGAUUGUGACACACUACUUAAAUUGUAUCGCUUAGGGUAGGGAACUAAAUCCUAUACAGUAUAAUCAGAGUCUCCAGGAGGGAGAGCGUGAGAUUUAUGUAUAGAUCUAUACAGGACUCACAAUCCCACACCUGAAAUGCUAGCUACAGUUAGGCUGGUAGGCCUGGGGUGACAAAUGUCAUAACUUUCAGACGCCUGAAGAACAUCGUAGAGGUCACCAGGUCAUAUGAAGCAUGGUUAUAUGAAACUCACAACAAUAUAACUAACACAUAUUUUUAUGAAAUUAACACUACUUCAAUGGUUUUAUUGUAUUUAAUAAAACUACUAUGAUUCACUACUUUACACUACAGGCUAUGGUAUUCGGGCAUACAUAUAAUGGUUUUCAUACAAACACUACUAUGAUACACUACACUACAGUUGGUGGUAUCCAGGCAUACAUACAAUGGUUUUCAUACAAAUACGGAUACAAUACACUAUUUUCUAAUACAUGGUACACUAAUACAACAUACAAUGAUAAGGAUCUUACAUGAAAUAGUUUAUCUAUUUACAAGACUACAUUACAUUCACCAUAGAAAAUAUUGGAUGUUUUGGAGAAACAUACUAGCAUUUUCAAAGUACAAAGACAAGUUUCCUAUCACUAAAACAUAUUUAUGAACUCACCAACUUAACUUUUGAUACACUUUCAAAAUCACUUGUAUUCUCAAGGAACCAGUAGAGAGGUGCACCCGUAGGAUUUUGAGAAUACGAAGCUUUAUAGAGUCUCGUCGUUUAUACUUUUGUUAUAUACUUUUGAUUUCAUACAAAUUAUGCUAUGAACAGAUGUAAAUACAAUAUUUUAUUAAUGUAAUGGUUAUGUUUGCUUUGAGUACUAUCAUACAAUUGUUGUGAUACUGUACAUAACGUCCUCCACCCCCGAACGUUUCCACUGUUCCGGUUUGGGGGUGUGACAAGUUUGGAUCUUGGUUGGCAAUGUACCGGGUAGUAAUACAGUCGGGUGCAAAUGGAUCUUCAAGAAGAAUACUGACAUGGAUGGGAAAGUACAUACAUAUAAGGCGCGACUGGUUGCGAAGGGCUUUAGUCAAACUCAAAGAUUAAAUCUAUAAGGGUUAUGAUUGCCAUUGCUGCAUUUCAUGACUAUGAAAUAUGGCAAAUGGAUGUCAAAACCGCUUUCCUUAAUGGAAAGUUGGCUGAAGAUGUUUACAUGUGUCAACCAGAUGGUUUUGUCAAUGAAAAGUACCCUAAUAGCGUGUGUAUGCUUGAGAAAUCCAUUUAUGGAUUGAAACAAACAUCUCGCAGAUGGAAUCUUUGUUUCGAUGAAAACGUCAAAGAAUUUAGAUUUUCGAGAAUCCAUGAUGAGUCCUGUGUAUAUGUCAAAGACAGUGGUAGUAUAGUUAGUUUUCUCGUAUUAUAUGUUGAUGACAAACUGAUCAUAGGAAACGACAUACCGACCUUGCAGGAAUUGAAGUCCUGGCUUUGGAAGUGUUUCGCUAUGACGGACCUUGGAGAAGCUGCCUAUAUCCUAGGGAUAAGGAUAUUGAGAAACAAGAUUAAAAGACUAACAAGACUUAGUCAAAGUACCUACUCAAACAAGGUGUUAAAGCGUUUCAACAUGGAGAACUCCAAGAAAGGUGACUUACCUAUCCAAAGCAAUACCAACCUGAGUAAGACUCAGAGUUUGAGUACAGAGGCUGAGAUAGUGGAGAUGAUUCGAGUACCAUAUGCUUCCACAGCUGGAUCGAUCAUAUAUGCUAUGAAUUGUACUCGCCCUGAUGUGGACUUUGCUUUGAGGAUGGUUAGCAAAUAUCAAGGGAAUCCUAGUAAAGCUCACUGGACUAUAGUUAAGAACAUUCUUAAGUACCUGCGGAUGACUAAGGAUUGGUCCUUACCCUCGAUGGGAGUGAUGACUUAAGAGUGACAUGGUAUUGAAACGCCGGUUUUCAGACCGACAGAGAUAAUUUGCACUCUCAGUCGGGCUGGGUGUUUACCCUAAAUAGAGGAGCAGUAACAUGGAAAAGUACCAAGCAAGAGACUGUAGCUGAUUCAAAAUGUGAAUCAGAGUACAUUGUAGCGAGCGAAGCAUCGAAAGAGGUGAUAUCAUUGAAGAACUUCAUCGGAGACCUUGGAGUUGUGCCAGCCAUAAAGGAGCCUAUGGAGAUUUUCUGCGAUAAUGAAGGGGCGGUUACCUCAACCAAGGAACCGAGAGAUCAUGGUAGAUCCAGGCAUAUCGACAUAAAGUACCAUUUCAUAAGACAUCAAGUAGAAGAAGGACAUCAAGUACCAUUUCUCGCCUAAGACGUUAAAGAGGGGCAUUUUUGGAAAGCCUUAUGCUUUCAUGUUUCUAUGUUCGAAUAAAGAAGUUUUGAAAAUGUUUUGAUGCAACUUCUGAAGUCAUUUUUGAAGAAGCCAAGAGUUUCUAGGUGUUUGGGGCCUUCCGAAUCAAGAACUAGUGAAGAAACGGAAGAAAACAGAGAAAAAUCGAUUUCCGGAGCAGGGAUCGCGCGGGUCGCGCGGCUGGUGUGCACGGCCUGUCUUCAACUCGCGACAAAAAUCGGAUUCCUAACUGCAUGAUCCGCGCGACCCGCGUACGAGUGCACGACUGGUGUGCGCGGCCGACCUUUAACUUGCGACAUAAAAAUGGGAACUAACUGCAUAGGUUGCGCGACCCGCGUGCCCGCUCUGUGCGACCCGCGUGCUGCUUGACGGCCAGCCCUUAUUUUGUUGACCAACUUUGACUUUCAUUGACCAAGUGGUUNGCUUUGACUUUCGUUGACCAAGUGGUUUAAUGAGUUGACCAACGUUGACCGGGUGUUGACCACACUUGAAUAUGGAUUGAAAACCUCCAGCAACUCUUCUUCUUCAUUUCAUUCUCUCAACCCCCCCCCAUUCUCUCUUAAACUCUCAAGAACACAUAAACCCACUUUUCACAUAAAUUCGAUUUCCCGGAGUUCCACCGGUCGGAAUCCGACGAGACCACCGCCAUUCUUCACCAUUUUCCGUGCUCUACAAACCCCACCCGAAAUUUACUCCGAUCCAUUGCCGGGUUUAGGGGCGCCACCACCACCCAACUCGCCGCUUUCCGGCCAUUUUCCGGCCAACUCCGACCACCUUUCGCAAUUCCGACACCACCAAAGUGUUUCUUUUUCCAAGCUCUUUACAUCUAACCGAACAAAACCUCAAAAUCUCACCAAAAAUUUUCCCGGAAUUUUUGAGCCACCACGAGCCGCCGUCGGAUUUUUCACACAAAUAAAGUUGAAAAUUUUCCUUCAGUGAACAAGUCUUGCAAUUUGGCACCCACGAAUAACCAAAGCUUGGGGUGCACGGUAGCGGAUUCCGGGUUCAAGUUCAAUUUUGGGAUAAUUCGGGUAUUUUCUUUCCUUGGUUUUUAUUACAUUGCAUUGUUUCAAUUCGAUAAUUGCAUCCAAUUAUGCUUUGGAAAUUGCCUAGGAUCGUUAGUUGUUGCCCGGUUUAUUUGAAAACAUUGAUUUGAGAAUGGUUGAGAUUGGUUGAUUUGCUUGGAAAUUUGUUCAAAAAUUGUUUAAACUUUGGUUGGGAUUUUCUCAUUUUGUCUCAUAAUGCUGCCGAAUUUUUGUUGGAAUUGUCAAAUUAACCGAGUGGUGUUGUUGAAACCAUUUUAAAUUGUCAAAAGUUGGGUAUCAUUAUUUCUUGGAAUUUUUGUGUUCGGUUUAAAGAUAGUUGCAUUGAUUUGAGAGUGGUGAGGUGAGGGAUUACGUUGGUGAAGUUGUUUUUGAUAUUGUAGGUUUUGAAAAUGGGCAAAACCGCGGCUCGGACACGCACCCAUGGAUCAUCGAUCGAUCCUAACCCGCAAAAGGAUGUCGCCGGUCCAUCACGCAAAACAGCCGGAAAACGGAAAAAAAGAGGAGAAGAGGGAAGCGAUCCUUCCCUUACAAAUGCUGAAAUCAAAACCUAUCGCUCCAACCUUCGGGGUCGCACAAUCCGGCCGACAAAAUUCUACCAUAGAAAGUCCAUGAAAAAGCUUGGGGUGCAUGAUGGUGUAUACAAUUUGUUCCUACAACUGGGUUGGCGUGGUUUUCUUCGACUUUGUGACAGAACUUACGAGGAACCCACAAUGGAAUUUCUUAGCACAUAUGCACGAGAUGAUGAAACGAAAGUCCUCACAUUCCAGUUGAAAGGGGAGCAUCAUAGGCUCACAUACGAAGAGCUUGAUUCCAUCAUGGGUAUAGACGAUCCAUUCCGCAUCAGCUCCCAAAAUCAAGAGUACCAAGAUUUUCUGCGUUACCCGGAUGCAAACUUUUGGAUGCAAAUUUCCGGUCUCACAACCUUUAACCCAAGCCGACAGCGAGCCAAGCACAUCGUUCACCCCUGCUGGCGAAUUGCUCACCGAGUUCUCACGACAAGUAUCUUCGGGCGCCUCGAGCCCGGUCAAAUCAACAGAUGUGAGCUAUUUUUCCUCCGAAGCAUGAGGCGUGCACUCCCCCUCAGUUUUUCAGGCUUCUUUUUAGACAAAUGCGACUCCAUUCGCCAGCGUUCCUCGGGGGAAAUUUUCAUCGGGGGACUUAUCACGAUCAUAGGUCGAGCCGUCGGCCUAGACUUCCCGGCUCCCGAGUACAUACCUGUCGACACCCCACCGAACUUCCUGCUAGAUUGUGAUACUCUCAUCCGGAUGGAGAUGUUGCUCGAUCGGGGAACACGCACGUACAAUUGGUUAGACUCUGACAAAGCCCCGGUUUACAUCCUGCCAAGUUGGAUCGGUUCUUCAUUCGAUACAGACGACCCCGACACUUGGCUUCCUCCAGAUCAGUUGACCCAAGCAGGUGUAUUCCCAGAAUUCGGUGAUGAUGAGGGUGACGAUGCAGAUGAACAAGAGGAAGAAGAUGAAGAAGAGGACGAUGAGAUGCCCGAAGCUGAGGACCAUUUUGACCAGCCNGGGUUGCGCGACCCGCGUGCUGUUGCGCGGGUGGGUUGCGCGGCCAGGUGUGAUGAAGCGACAUUGGCCCAAGACUUAACUGCAAGGUCUGCGCGACCCGCGUGCUACUCUGCGCGACCCGCGCACUGUGCUGGGCAAUUUGGGCUAUUUUUGGCUAUUAUUUGACCAGGUGUUGACCAAAGGUUUUAAUGAGUUGACCUUUUGACUUUUUGUGACCAACAUUGACCGAAAUUGACCCUUUUUGACCCAUAGAUUAAAAUGUUCAGCUUCCCUUCUUCUUCAUUUAAUCAUCUUGACCUCCCACUCCAUUCCUCUCAUAUAACCUUCCAGCACCCACCUCACCGGAAAAUUCAAGAUUGUCGGAGUUCUACUGGUCGUAAUUUCACGAAACCACCGCCACAAACAUCUCCCGUCAUCCAAUCCUCCGAUUUAGGUCAUUUUUGCCCUUACCUUAAGCAUUGAGGACAAUGCUUGUUCUUAAGCUUGGGGUGGGGCAUUUCAUUUUCCUUUUAUAUUUUUUUUUCAUGCAUUUUUAAUUAGGUUGCAUAACAUUUUAGUUUUAAGCUAAUUUUCAUUCAUUUUUUUAUUUUUUUUUAAAUCCAAAAAGAUUUUAUUCUUUUUCUUUUUCACCUUUUAUAUUUUUGCAUAACAUUUAGCUUAGGCAUUAACAUUCAUGCAUUUUUGUUGUCUGUUUAUUCUCACCCCCUGGAUGCCAUGGAAUAGGUUCACAGUUAUUGUAUCAUUAUUGAUCCAGGAUCUUGUUGUUAUCUCAUCCAUCGAACGGGGACCAUUAGCCGCAGUUUGGGAUCUCAUACUUGGGAUCAGAUGUUGGUAGCUUAAAGGGGUAAGUGAUCAUGGACAGGUAGUUUUCAUGAAGAAUUAUGCAUACAAUACUAAUGACUGUAGGAUAUACUAUAGCAAUGGAUGUCUUAGCCUUGCGGUCACUACCGCCGAGAGGAUCACACUUGAUCAUGUUUGAACCGUUAGGAUGAAGCACUAGUGCUACAACGUUCAUGAGUGCUCCUGAAAUAAGAUUUGAGUAUUGGAUUAAACCCAUGCUCCCCUGAAUCACUUCAUGGAAUUUAUCAUGAGUGAUUGUGAGACAAUAAUAUCAUAUAGUCUUCAAACUAAGAUAUAUGGGUUGUUGACUACGAGUUGCUUGUGCAUUGAUGAUACGUAAACGCAUCAGUAACUUGAUGUUAUAAAACGUAUCGUUGUGCAUGAUUUAAUGAGUAGUUAGUACAAGCAUAUAAUGUCGAAGUUUAUCUGUUACUUUAUCCUAAGAGGAUUAAAAGCGAUAUCUUAGGCCCCUCGAUGAUUUGUUUUGACUUAUGUGUCGGGCCCGAUCAGAACUAAAUUGAUGUGUUCAGUUAUGUUCUAUGUCAAGCGAAUCGGAAAUCGGGAAACAAACUGUAGGGCAAUAAGUAUGACUAUGUUCCAUUUAUUUGUCUGCAUGAUAUCUUGAAGAUCAGAGGAGUAUAUGAUCCCUUAUCCAAAGGACGCGUGACUGACUAGGUCAGACUUCGAUAGCGGCUUUUGAAAGUUAUGAUUGCUAAUCGGAUCCUGAAGUUGCAUUGGUAGUUAUAGCUAUUAGGUUUAUCCAUGUGGGACACUACUGGAUUAGGUGUAUAAGCCCAUAACUAUAACUGGGAUGUACUUCACCCGAUAGUAACAUGGUCCUUUUGGGUUGCCUUCACCAGUGCAAUUUAUAUAUUAAUUGAGAAAUCAUAUUAUUUAACUAGUAUUGAUCAAGAAAUAAUUUGGAAUUGAUUUAGUGAUCAAAAGAGACUAAUUAAGUAUACGGGGACUGAUUAAGUAAAUCAGUGAUUCUUUUAGUGUGAGCCAAAGAUCCAUGGUUAAUUAGGAUGCGCUAAACCAACAUGGAUAGUCCAUGGAGGUUUAACCCAUGGAUCCUAAGUAAUGUGAAGGGUCAUGGUGCAUUAGGGAUUGCAUGGAUGUAACCCUAGCAUUUGCAACACUAUAAAUGAACACUCCUAGAGCCAAAAUCGGUUACACCAUUCAUUUUAAGAGAGUGAUAUUGAUUUUGUGCUAACUAGCUAAUUCUCUCAAGUCUCCUCUUGAAUUUGGUUUUUGUGACACCUUAGAGGCAUCACACUUGAGGUGCUAAAGUUUUCAAAGGCCAAGAACUACAACUACAUCAAGAGGUAUUCAUCUAACUAUGAGUCUUGUAUUGUAUAUCCUCCAUUGUAUGCUAGUUAGGAUGUGUGCUUUGGAAAAUUGAAAAUGCAUGUAUAAUUAGAGAAAACAUAGAUCCAAAGCAUCUAGGGUUGUAUGUGCACCGUAGGAGUGUUAUAGUGCUUAAAACCCAACAAUAAUAACAACACAUAAUCAAGUAAGGGUAUUUUGGGAAAUCACCGCUCGGGCUGUGGCUGAUUGUACACACCGCUUCGGAUCCACUUUCAAAACUCUUUAAUCUCUUUGCAAAAAUCGUGUGAUGAAAAAUCAUUCUCAUUUGAAAAGUUAUCAACUCCUUAGUUUGAGUCCAGACAUACUCGAAGGUACAGUCGAAUCCCUCAAACCAAGGCUCUGAUACCAAAUUGUAACGCUUCAAAAUUCAAGGCAAAAUUUUCAUUUUUAAUUCUCAAAAUAUUACUUAUAAAUUCAAGUCAUCACAUAAAUUGUAAGUUAUUAUCAAAACAAUAUCAGUGUAUCCCAAAAUCUUCCAAUCUCCAUAAGCCGGCGGAUGUGUACAAUCAUGCCUUCGCUUUCCGGGAAUCAACAGAAGUACCUAAAACACAUUUAACUCAACACAGUAAGCACGAAGCUUAGUGAGUUUUCCAAGAUAUCACAUACACAAAUAAUAAGCCUCUCAUGGCUAUAUAUUGGCAUGGACCCUCCGGUCAUGCAUCUCAGUGAAGGUCCUCCGGUCUCACGGCUCGGUAUGGACCCUCCGGUCAUGUGUCUUAGUGAAGACCGUCCAGUCUCACAACUAAAUUUGGACCCUCUAGUCCUAACUCAAUAAAUGCACAGAAUAAUAUACAACAUAAACCACAAAGACAAAAUGCAUAAUAUCACAUAACUCGGUAUCAGCACAUAAGGCCCUCCAGUCGAUAACACAUAUAAGACCCUCCCGUUGCACAUUAAUUUCCACUCGGGUAAGUAUAAUGAGAAGACUCACCUCGCAAUUUAAAGCAAGAAUAUCCCACACUCGAACUGCUGGUCUAGACUCCGCCUAACAUAUUUCACAUAUAUCUCUAAUAAUCUUAGAAAUGGGAAAAGACUAUUUUACCCCUCCAUGGCCUCCAAAGUUCACAACUAGACCAAAACCGUAAGUCAAUGGAAGUUAACACUCAAGUCAACAGUCCAUGUUGACUCNNNNNNNNNNNNNNNNNNNNNNNNNNNNNNNNNNNNNNNNNNNNNNNNNNNNNNNNNNNNNNNNNNNNNNNNNNNNNNNNNNNNNNNNNNNNNNNNNNNNUUGGGGCCUUCCGAAUCAAGAACUAGUGAAGAAACGGAAGAAAAUAGAGAAAAAUCGAUUUCCGGAGCAAGGAUCUGCGCGACCCGCGCACGGGUGCGCGGCUGGUGUGCGCGGCCGGUCUUCAACUCGCGACAAAAAUCGGAUUCCUAACUGCAUGAUCCGCGCGACCCGCGCACGGGUGCGCGGCUGGUGUGCGCGGCCGACCUUUAACUUGCGACAUAAAAAUGGGACUAACUGCAUAGGUUGCGCGACCCGCGUGCCCCCUCUGCGCGACCCGCGUGCUUCUUGACGGCUAGCCCUUAUUUUGUUGACCAACUUUGACUUUCGUUGACCAAGUGGUUUAAUGAGUUGACCAACAUUGACCGGGUGUUGACCACACUUGAAUAUGGAUUGAAAACCUCCAGCAACUCUUCUUCUUCAUUUCAUUCUCUCAAACCCCCACCAUUCUCUCUUAAACUCUCAAGAACACAUAAACCCACUUUUCACUAAAAAUCGAUUUCCCGGAGUUCCACCGGUCGGAAUCCGACGAGACCCCCGCCAUUCUUCACCAUUUUCCGUGCUCUACAAACCCCACCCGAAAUUUACUCCGAUCCAUUGCCGGGUUUAGGGGCGCCACCACCACCCAACUCGCCGCUUUCCGACCAUUUUCCGGCCAACUCUGACCACCUUUCGCAAUUCCGACACCACCAAAGUGUUUCCUUUUCCAAGCUCUUUACAUCUAACCGAACAAAACCUCAAAAUCUCACCAAAAAUUUUCCCGGAAUUUUUGAGCCACCACGAGCCGCCGUCGGAUUUUUCACACAAAUAAAGUUGAAAAUUUUCCUUCAGUGAACAAGUCUUGCAAUUUGGCACCCACGAAUAACCAAAGCUUGGGGUGCACGGUAGCGGAUUCCGGGUUCAAGUUCAAUUUUGGGAUAAUUCGGGUAUUUUCUUUCCUUGGUUUUUAUUACAUUGCAUUGUUUCAAUUCGAUAAUUGCAUCCAAUUAUGCUUUGGAAAUUGCCUAGGAUCGUUAGUUGUUGCCCGGUUUAUUUGAAAACAUUGAUUUGAGAAUGGUUGAGAUUGCUUGAUUUGCUUGGAAAUUUGUUCAAAAAAAAUUGUUUAAACUUUGGUUGGGAUUUUCUCAUUUUGUCUCAUNNNNNNNNNNNNNNNNNNNNNNNNNNNNNNNNNNNNNNNNNNNNNNNNNNNNNNNNNNNNNNNNNNNNNNNNNNNNNNNNNNNNNNNNNNNNNNNNNNNNUUAAGGAAAGCCAACUUAAACCACAAAUUGAUCAUCAACAACUGGAACCUUCUAUGCUUCUUCAUCCUCUCCUUCUACCUAUAGUCGAUUUGAAGGAUCAUGACCGAUGUAAACAUGCUCACCGGUUAAUUUAGUUAGGGCUUCAUGCCAUCCAACUACAAUCUAGGAUCCUGCAUUGGCCACUCCCUCUUCAAGUUUGAUCCUAGCUUCGCAGAUAGCCAUAACGACACUACCCCUCACCUCAGAUAUCACCUCCGCCAUCUCAUCAGCAUGCUCAUCCUCUUUCUCAGUAUUCGCUUUACACAACAACUCCACCCUCGUUAUGAGAUCUUCAUUGGUGGAUUUCCACACUUUCUCCUGUUCCUUUAAGGCUAACUCAGCCUUCUUAGCUCUCACGUUCAAGUUAACAGCAGUGCGAGAGACGUGAUUAGAAACCUGAAACAAGAAAGACAUUAGUAGAUAUAAAAUCAUAAAAACUAAGAACUGAAGUUCAUGAAACACUUACAAUAUGAGAAAAAGAGACCGUCUUCCUAAGAGCUUCUUUAGAUGCAAGGUUUUCCAGGCUCAGAUCUGGAACCUCAAUUGUUUUCCUUUUCCGGGAGCUUGGAGUUUUGACAAUGAGAUCGAUGUAAGCUCUAUUGGAAGGAAGAGAGGAGGCACAUUUUUUACUUCUUGACCAUAAUCAAACCACUGGAAAUGUCGUCCUCCAAAUCAAAAAUGCAAAUUCGGGCACUAGAUCGCUUAGCUUUGGAUCCUAUAUCAAGGAUCCCCAUCAGUUUAGGACCCCGAAGAUAAGGUAGACAAUAAGAGGAGGGCAGGAUUCUUACCAGUGGAAAUUGAAGCUGUAGGGUCCAUUAUGUGUUGCGUCUUGGGCUUGUUCUUUAGUUCAGUUUUAUAUCCGGAUUGGGCUUGUCCAUCCGUGAUUUUAUUUUCUAGGGUUUAGUAUUUAUAGAUGCUUGCAUGCAUCUUGGUACGUAAGAUUUGGAGUCAAUCAUUCACAGCGCAUACUUUUAUUUUGAUUGUAACCCUAACCAGCCUCUACAGCGGAAGUUCUUAGUCGAGCUCUGCUGAGGCAUGAAUCUAUUGAAUCAUUCAGCAUAUUUUGAUUCAUUCCACUGUUUGAUCUUUCUGUUCUUAUUUCUGUGAUUAACCUGUUUGAAGAUCUAAACGAUCAAAGAGUUAUUCAACUCUUCAAUUGGUAUCAGAGCAGGAGACUGUGUAAUUCAUACACAUCUCUUCUGUGAAAGCAGUGAUUAGGGUUUAUUCCGCAUUCAUUGAUAUUUAUUGAGCCAUCACUCAUAAUUGACAUAUCUCAUUAAUUAUUCAUCUUGCCCUAAUAUUACGUAUUACAAAGUCUGAUCUUAUAACAGGUUACACGAUCAAGCAUGGACGAUUCUCAAUCCAAUCCCAUCAACAUCUCUAAUAGCAUCGGAUCAACCACCAAGAUUCCAAUUCUCUAUACUCAAGACUAUGAAGUAUGGACGUACCACUUUGAAGAUUACGUUAUUGGAUCUGAAGAUAACGGGUAUCUGAUAUGGGAAGCUAUCACUUCUGGCCUUUUCGUUCAUUCAAGAAUGUCUAGGAUCAUUAAAACUGAAAAGGAGUAUAAUGAUCUAUUAAAAGAUGUGAAAGACAUCACUCAGGAUGAAAAGGAGAAGUUCCAAUGCAACAUUAAGGCAUUGAGACUAAUUCGAUUCGCUCUUCAGUCUGACACGUUUCGAUUAGUUAGUUCUUGCAGUAUAGCAAAAGAAAUCUGGGAUUGGCUGCGAGAGUUGUACUCCACAGAUGAAGAUCUAGAGCAUUCAAUUUAGACCCUACUUCUCUCUGAAUUUGGAGAAUUCAAGCAGAUGCCGGUUGAGGUAGUUACACAAACAUUUGAUCGGUUCAAUCAUCUUCUUAGCAAGAUGAUCAAGCAUGACAUUGAAAGAAAGCUCAUCGAACAGAAGGUCACCUUCUUGAAUGGUCUGAGACCCGAAUGGAGGGCUGUUGUGUCGACGGUUAAAGCACAUGAGCAGUUUAAAUCGUAUUCCUUGGCAGAAUUGGUGGGGAUUCUGAAAUCCCAAGAAUAGAUUGUGUUACAAGAGAAAAGCGUGGUUUCAAACUUGGGAUCUUUGGCGCUGUUGUCCAAAGGUAAGAAUGCAGAAGAAGAAGAAGAAGAUUUGAAUCUAGGAGAUUACGAUUUAACAGUUGAAGACUAUGCUAUGAUGNAACAACUGGGACCUUCUGUGCUUCUUCAUCCUCUCCUUCUACCUGUAGCCGAUUUGAAUGACCAUGACCGAUGUAAACAUGCUCACCGGUUAAUUUAGUUAGGGCUUCAUGCCAUCCAACUACAUUCCAGGAUCCUGCAUUGGCCACUCCCUCUUCAAGUUUGAUCCUAGCUUCGCAAAUAGCCAUAACGACACUACCCCUCACCUCAGAUAUCACCUCCGCCAUCUCAUCAGCAUGCUCAUCCUCUUUCUCAGUAUUCGCUUUACACAACAACUCCACCCUCGUGAUGAGAUCUUCAUUGGUGGAUUUCCACACUUUCUCCUGUUCCUUUAAGGCUAACUCAGCCUUCUUAGCUCUCACGUUCAAGUUAACAGCAGUGCGAGAGACGUGAUUAGAAACCUAAAACAAGAAAGACAUUACUAGAUAUAAAAUAAAAACUAAGAACUGAAGUUCAUGAAACACUUACAAUUUGAGAAAAAGAGACCGUCUUCCGGAGAGCUUCCUUAGAUGCAAGGUUUUCCAGGCUCAGAUCUGGAACCUCAAUUGUUUUCCUUUUCCGGGAGCUUGGAGUUUUGGCAAUGAGAUCGAUGUAAGCUCUAUUGGAAGGAAGAGAGGAGGCACAUUUUUUACUUCUUGACCAUAAUCAAACCACUGGAAAUGUCGUCCUCCAAAUCAAAAAUGCCAAUUCGGGCACUAGAUCGCUUAGCUUUGGAUCCUAUAUCAAGGAUCCCCAUCAGUUCAGGACCCCGAAGAUAAGGUAGACAAUAAGAGGAGGGUAGGAUUCUUACCAGUGGAAAUUGAAGCUGUAGGGUCCAUUAUGUGUUGCGUCUUGGGCUUGUUCUUUAGUUCAGUUUUAUAUCCGGAUUGGGCCUGUCCAUCCGUGAUUUUAUUUUCUAGGGUUUAGUAUUUAUAGAUGCUUGCAUGCAUCUUGGUACGUAAGAUUUGGAGUCAAUCAUUCACAGCGCAUACUUUUAUUUUGAUUGUAACCCUAAACAGCCUCUACAGCGGAAGUUCUUAGUCGAGCUCUGCUGAGGCAUGAAUCUAUUGAAUCAUUCAGCAUAUUUUGAUUCAUUCCACUGUUUGAUCUUUCUGUUCUUAUUUCUGUGAUUAACCUGUUUGAAGAUCUAAACGAUCAAAGAGUUAUUCAACUCUUCAAUUGGUAUCAGAGCAGUAGACUGUGUAAUUCAUACACAUCUCUUCUGUGAAAGCAGUGAUUAGGGUUUAUUCCGCAUUCAUUGAUAUUUAUUGAGCCGUCACUCAUAAUUGACAUAUCUCAUUAAUUAUUCAUCUUGCCCUAAUAUUACGUAUUACAAAGUCUGAUCUUAUAACAGGUUACACGAUCAAGCAUGGACGAUUCUCAAUCCAAUCCCAUCAACAUCUCUAAUAGCAUCGGAUCAACCACCAAGAUUCCAAUUCUCUAUACUCAAGACUAUGAAGUAUGGACGUACCACUUUGAAGAUUACGUUAUUGGAUCUGAAGAUAACGGGUAUCUGAUAUGGGAAGCUAUCACUUCUGGCCUUUUCGUUCAUUCAAGAAUGUCUAGGAUCAUUAAAACUGAAAAGGAGUAUAAUGAUCUAUUAAAAGAUGUGAAAGACAUCACUCAGGAUGAAAAGGAGAAGUUCCAAUGCAACAUUAAGGCAUUGAGACUAAUUCGAUUCGCUCUUCAGUCCGACACGUUUCGAUUAGUUAGUUCUUGCAGUAUAGCAAAAGAAAUCUGGGAUUGGCUGCGAGAGUUGUACUCCACAGAUGAAGAUCUAGAGCAUUCAAUUUAGACCCUACUUCUCUCUGAAUUUGGAGAAUUCAAGCAGAUGCCGGAUGAGGUAGUUACACAAACAUUUGAUCGGUUCAAUCAUCUUCUUAGCAAGAUGAUCAAGCAUGACAUUGAAAGAAAGCUCACCGAACAGAAGGUCACCUUCUUGAAUGGUCUAAGACCCGAAUGGAGGGCUGUUGUGUCGACAGUUAAAGCGCAUGAGCAGUUUAAAUCGUAUUCCUUGGCAAAAUUGGUGGGGAUUCUGAAAUCCCAAGAAAAGAUUGUGUUACAAGAGAAAAGCGUGGUUUCAAACUUGGGAUCUUUGGCGCUUUUGUCCAAAGGUAAGAAUGCAGAAGAAGAAGAAGAAGAUUUGAAUCUCGGAGAUUACGAUUUAACAGUUGAAGACUAUGCUAUGAUGGUAUCAAAUCCCAUAAGGUUCAUCAAGAAGAAGUUCCCUACCAACAAGAACCGAAAUUGGCAAGGAAGCUACAACUCUGAGAAAUUGAAAGAGGAGCCGAAGGUUGAAGAAUCAAAGAAGGAAGCGAAGGGUGAAGCUGACUCUGGUGUCAGUUGCUUCUACUAUGGUGGGAAAAAUCAUUACGCAAAAGAUUGCGUGUUGAAGAAGAUGGCAGAGGAAGAUGAGGAGAAAGAUGAAGAAGCAAGUCUUAUGAAAAGGUUGGAAGAAAUUAAGAGGAAGAAAGCUGCUACUAAUCCCUCUAUGAAUGCUCUUAUUGUGCAGGGUUUGGUAGUUGAUGAUGAGUUCGGUGGCGUACAGGUUUGGUCAACCGACUCAGAAGAUGAUGAAGUGAGAAAGUGAUAGUUAGUUUUGUUUACUUCUUUUUAUAGUUUAUUUUAGCAUAUUUCAUUCAUAAUUUAGAUAAUUUCCAUGCAUAUUUUCCAUUUUGUUAUUUUAUGACUAUUUCGGGUACUUUCGAAUCUUGUGAGCAUAAUUGCAGGUUUUCGGGUCUAGCGGAGCGGGAGUGUUCGGGACGUAUGGGAAGCGAUGAGAUUUGGUAGACAAAAAUGAUGUUAGGCUUGGUGAUUGUGGAGAUUAUGCAUGGAGCGAGCUUGAUGGUUAUUUGAAGGCUUGGAGAGAAAUAAACUUUAAAUUUGCAAGAUGCGGGAGUUUAUUCAAGCAUACGUAGAUUUUUAAUCGGGAGAGUGCACGAGCUUUGGAGGAUUUGGAGAGGUCAAAUUGGGCUUAAAAUGAAGAAAAACUUGAAGAAAAUGGGCUAGGAGGUGAUUGGAUUCGAUCUGGGCUAGUGGGAUAUGCUUUGGAGGCCCAAAAUCUCAAAGAAGCCCAUGUCAGGCACCACCCGCGCAACCCACCCGCGCAGCAGCACGCGGGUCGCGCAAGGCUCUGCAGGGGUAAUUUCGGAAAUCCAUUUGGAAGGCUAUUUGAGGAAGGUUGGUGCCCAUCUUUUGGAGACUCUUGGACAUCCGAUUUUUGGAGAUUCUCUCUGGAGUUUUGAAGACUUUUGAAGGCCAAGAACACUUGAAGAACAUCAUAUUUUUACCUCUUGAUUCUUGCUUAAUGUUUGGUACAAUUUUCUCUAACUUUGUUUCUUUGAGUUUAGCCAUGCUUGGCUAAACUAAUCUUGGUUGACUUUUGGUUAAUCCUUUGAACUUUUGUUGAAUGUUGAAGAAUCCAUGAACAUGUUCUUAAAUCUUUAUGGGAAUGUUUUGUGUUUUAACAUCUUAUCACUACUUGUAUGUUUUAGUUCAUGAGUUUAAAUGUGUUUGUGGUGAUUAGUUGGCUAAUUUCUUGAUUAAGUAAAGGAUCCUCAAAUUAGCAAGCAACAAAUGAUUUUUGUGUUGUUUUUGCUUCACACAAUCAUAAAAACAUUUCCUCCAACAUGGUGGUGAAAGCAUUUGACCCCUCUUGGAUUUGGUGACUUUUUGGUUCUUAAUGCUAGUUGACUUUCACUAAUUACAUGCUAUUUGGAAUUAGUGACUUUGACUAAGGAAAUUGUUAUGAGCUUCUCUAGCCAUUUCAACAAUUAAGAAAAGUCUAGGUAAUCUCAAGCUCCUUGGAUUAGUAUAGCCAAAUUAAGGAUUUAAAUCAAAGUAUUGCACCAUUGGAUUCUAAUGAUAUGUUCAUCAAAAGUCAAAGUGAGGAAACUUUAAGUCAACCAUCUCUCCCUUAUUGAUUUUACAUCAAACUCUUAUUUUUGUUGCAUUUGUCUAUUUAAAUCAUAGUUAAUUCUAGUUUGUUUCAAGUAUUUCAAAACACCAAAACCCCCCAUUUUAUUUUUAUUGUCAUUUUACAAGUAUUUUUACAAAGAGAUUUUUCAUAGAGUUAUAAAUUGAACCAAUCUCCGUGGAUUCGAUCCCUUUACCACUAUACACUAUUUUAGUGUGUAAUAUUUAGGGUUAUUAUUUGUGUUGGCCUCGACAACCACCACAAAGUCAACAUUCCGAGUUGACUCAACUCGCCGAGUUCCAUAAAUCGUAAAACCAUGAAAUCGCGAUCCAGCUCGUCGACUUCUUUCAUGAACUCGGUGAGUUCCUCCUAUCAACAGAAUCAGGACUUCUCAAAUUAACCCGUCAAGUCCAUCCUUGAACUCGUCGAGUUCUUCCUUUUAGCAAAAUCAGGACACUUCGACCCAACUCGUCGAGUUCCUCUAUGAACUCGUCAAUUUCUUCAGUUUGUUAAGCUUUCUUANUCUCUCAAUGUGCAGAUCAACGAGCAAGAUGAACUGAUCAAGAAGGUACAAUAUAUUUUUAUUUCGUUUAAAAUUCCACAAACAUCAUAUGAAAAGGAAUUAAAUAACUUGAAUUCAAGAAUUUCAAAUCUAGAUAGUUGUUGAACUCAAACACGUGUCACGAAUUCAAAUCUAACUGACCAAAUAAGUAGGGUGUCAUCCAAGAGUGAGGAGCGAAUGAUAUGGAUAGAACAGAAGGAGUCGGAGCUGGUUAAGUCUAGGGAUGAGAACAUUUAUUUGCAAAGAGACAAUCUUAAGUUAUUAAAUCAGAGGAAUGUUUUCUUUUUGAUUGCAAAAAGACUUUAUACUAAUAUUAGUCAGUUGCAUUUAAACAGUGAAAUAGGCCAGAAGAUACAUCGCAUGAUUUUGCCCUUCCUUGAGUUAAAGGAGGAUGAUAUCGAUGCCGAAGCAUACAAUUGCGAAAGUGUUGUAUCUUCAGAUGAUCUUAAUCCCACCUAUAUAUGUAUGGUCUGGACAAAAUUGAAUCUUUUAUAAAGUCCAAAGACCAUAAGGACAUGCUUAAGAAUCUUUUGGAUGAAAAUGAUAAGUUGAAACUCAGAGCCGACACUAUACAAAAAUUUGACUCUUUGAGUACCAAAUUAAGUUCAGAAAAUAAAAUUGAUGUUGAAAAUGCAUCUGAACUUAAUGAGGACGAUGACAUAAGUGAAAUUUCUGUAGAGGAUGAGGUUAACUGUUCCAAGUUUAUUAGGAGCGAAACUGAAAACCACAAAAACUUGAUUUCUGAAAAUUCUGUGGAAUUCGAUCGUCUGUCCAAACAUAAGUCCCCAAUCCUUAAAGAAAAGACUGUUGUAUACCAAAAGGUUCGAACCACUCAUAAUCAAGUUUAUAAGGUCACAGGAGUAACCGAACAUCAGACAACCGAACUCACUGCCAUAGUGAAUGAAGAUAAUGCAGAUGGAUGUGAUGAGUUUUUCUGGUCAGCACCGAUAGACAAUGCUGAUGAAACAGUUGGUUUGUCGGAGCGAACAUCAUGGAAAGCCAAAGGGAGAUACGUGGCAGAACCAUUGAAUAAACCUACAAAAUUUGACGUUCCAAGUUCUAGCAGUACAAAAGAGAUUCCAGUGGAAGAUGUCACCUCAACUAGCAAAACCUCUUCCAUGAAGAGUGGACCUGUUGCUAAGAAGCAUAAACAGAAGGCAAAUAUUCACCGACAACCGAAACAGGUGAAAAAUCAAAAGCAACAGAGGAACUUGAGAUACAAGAAAAAUCUCUCAGAGCGAAAGCAGUUUUGGCGUUCUCAAAAUCCUCACUAUACUCAGUAUGACAGAAAUUCCAUGCCAAAAGGAGAAGAAAAUAACAGUAAAAGGCGUUUUGGUCCAUCAAUCCAAAAGAACGAGAGGAAGACUUUCGGGCCACAGGAAGAACAAAACCAGAAGGAUAGGUUCGGUCCCGAAAGCAACAACAACCGAAAGGCUGGUUUCGGAUCAUCAAACAACAACCGACAAAGACAUGAUUUCAGCCCUUCAAGCUUUUAUUGUAGAAGAACCAUCUUCGGUCCAGCUACUAACAAAAACCGGAAAAACAGCUUCGGUCCAUCAUCAAACGGCAACCGAAGGUCCAGGUUCGGUCCCUCAAAUGAUCUCAACCGAAAGGGUCAUUUCGAACCUCAAGUCAGGAAAGAUUCUCAUUCUAAUUUCUUAUCUUCUAAUUCUUCUCGUUCUAAUUCUUCUUCUAAGCCUAAUUCUCGUCAUACAUCAAAUUCACAAUCAUCAAAGGAUAUGGAAGGAAAAAGGAAGAUUUUCUUAGCUACUGAAGACCGAAAGCAAGCUAAAGUCCAAACGCCCGAAUAUGAAUCCAAAAUACCUGCAUCUAAAUCCAAUAAACUCAAAGUAUUUACCAUUAAUAGGAAAGAUGAAACAACCUUAAUAAAAAGAACAUAUCUGGUUGAUGUUUCCCUUACUUCUCAUGUUUCUGUAAAAGGCUCACGAGGACCCAAGAAACUUUGGGUUCCUAAAUCUGCUUAAUUUUUGCAGGUUAUAAGUGACGAGCAGUUUGACAAAGAAUGGUACAUAGACAGUGGUUGCUCACAUCACAUGACAGGAAGGAAGGAAGAGCUAAGGGAGUUUCGGUCACUUCAAAACGGUGGCAAUGUCAAGUUUGGUAACAACUCUUAUGGAACGAUAAAGGGUUAUGGGAUGAUAACUAAUGGAGAUUUUACAAUCAGAAAGGUGGCGAUAGUAGAGGGGUUGCAACAUAACCUCAUCAUUGUGUCUCAACUGGUGGGAGGAACAGGUCUCAAAGUCUCAUUCGAUGAAGAAGGUUUAGAGAUAAUAGAAAAGAAAUCCAACAAAAUCAUUCUCAAGUCUGAACGAAAAGGUGAAAUGUUCCCUCUGAAUCUCAAACCAAUCAAAGGGAAUCCAACAAUAUGUCUUUUAUCCAAAGCUCACUCAGACGAAAGUUGGUUGUGGCACCGAAGGCUCUCACAUCUCAACUUCAAAGACAUCAAUAAGCUAGUUACCGGUGGUGAUGUUCGAGGACUUCCAUUACUCAAGUUUGAUCGUGAACACUUGUGCGCUGCAUGUGACAUGGGGAAACAAAGUCGCCAAAGUCACCCAACGAUCAUAAACACGAAAGUUGUUGAACCACUUGAGUUGGUUCACAUCGAUUUAUGUGGUCCAUCAUCAAUCGAGAGCAUUGGUGGUAACAAGUACAUUCUUGUUAUUGUUGAUGACUUCUCACGUUUUACAUGGCUGUACUUUCUAAAGCACAAAUCUGAGUCGACUCCCAAGCUGAAGAUCUUUAUCAAGCAAGUCGAAGUGCAACUGAGGAAAGUCGUUAGAAACAUCAGGAGCGACAAUGGACAUGAAUUCAAGAACAAAGAAUUCGAAGACUUCCUAGCAGAAAAAGGCACCAGUCACAACUUCUCAGCCCCUUGUACACCUCUACAGAACGGAAUUGUCGAAAGGCGAAACCGCUCCCUGUGUGAGGCGGCCCGAACCAUGCUAAGUUUUGCUUCCUUUCCUUUAUAUUUCUGGGCUGACGCUAUUGCUUCAGCGUGUUUUACUCAGAACAGGUCUUAUCUCAACAAGCAUUUCUCUCUCACUCCUUAUGAGAUAAUCAACAACAGGAAGCCGAAUGUCAAGUUCUUUCACGUGUUCGGUUCCAGGUGCUUCAUCUUCAACUCCAAAGAACAUCGCAACAAGUUUGAUGUCAAAGCUGAUGAAUGUAUCUUUCUGGGAUAUUCUCUUACUUCAAAGGCAUACAGGGUUUUGAAUAAGCGUUCUAAAAGAAUUGAAGAAACCUAUUAUGUGACGUUCGAUGUCAAUUACGUCAAGAAGUUGAAGUUUACUGAAGAAGCAAUAUGAGAGAUUUUCUCUCAAACAGGUCAAGUCACAACCUCUAUCGCCAAUCUCUUUGACCAGUUCAUGGAUCUAUUUGAUGAACCUGAGAAAGCAGCUCACUCUGAAGCCACAACAGCAGACAACAAGAUUGAUCACCUUAAGAAGAUCGUCGAAGUUGCAGCCAAACGAAUGGGAACAGAAGAAUCAGUUCGAAAAUAACCUCCCCAGAGCAGUACUUCGGUCAAGGGGGAGAAUCUAUCCUCUUCAAAUCAACAUGAUUCACAUAUUCAGGUGGAGAAUCCAAUUUUUGACGAACCCGAAAGUCCUGUAGCACCCGAAAGCCCCUCUGCACCUGAAAGUCAAGUAACACCCGAAAGUCUAGUAACACGCGGAAUUCCAGUGACAAUCGAAAGUCUGGAUCAAGCCGACAGCUCAGUCGAAGAAAGACUUCAUGGUUCAUCAUCUGUUGAGGGGGAGAAUUCAGAUAUGCUUUAUGAUGAUGACAUUCAAUCAGAGUUGGAAGAAAUGGUAAAUGCUGAAUUGGAUCCAUCCUAUGAUCCAAACUAUCCUCCUCUUACCAAACGGACCAGAGAUCAUCCUGUAUCUCAAAUAUUCGGUGAUGUAUUUGAAAAGGUUCUAACACGAUCUCAAGUGAAAGCAAAGCAAACUUCCUUAUUCUCCAAAGUAGAAUUUUGUAUGUUCAAUUCUUUCAUCUCUAAAAUAGAGCCGAAGACCGUUAAUAUUGCUCUCGAUCAUUCUUAUUGGGUUCAGGCAAUGCAAGACGAAUUUAAUGAGUUCGAAAGAAAUAAGGUCUGGCGUCUCAUUCCAACACCAAAAGAUGCUUCGGUCGUAGGUCUCAAAUGGGUAUUCAGAAACAAAAUGGAUAAGGAGGGUAAUGUGAUUCGAAAUAAGGCUUGGCUAGUGGUGAAAGGUUACUGCCAAGAAGAAGGAAUCGAUUACGAAGAGACAUUCGCUCUGGUAGCAAGGCUGGAAUCUGUUCGUAUAUUUCUUGCCUACGCUGCACACAAGAACUUUGAGGUCUACCAGAUGGACGUAAAAUGCGCCUUUCUGAAUGGGGAGCUUGAUGAAACUAUGUACGUGGAGCAAUGUCACACCCCCGAACCAGACGGCGGAAACGUCCGGGGGCUGUCGUGACUCAAUUGAAUACCAUAACAUUGAAUAUAUAUGAAACAAAACAACAUUCGUCACCAUUCAUCAACAUAGUACAACCAGUAGUGUUUACAUGUCAUACAUUGUUUUAACAUUACAUUCCCCAAAAAUUAAUUUGUUCAAUUCAUACAAAAAUAAACUGCAACCGUCACUGAGUAUGAUUUCCCUUGAUUCACUGGUUCCCUGAGAAUACAAGUAUUUUGAAAAACGUCAACAUAUGAAAUGUUGGUGAGUUCAUAAGUAGUGUUUGAAAUCGAAUGUUUAUAUUGCUUGAAAAACCACCAGAAAAUCCGAUAUUUUCUGAAAAGAAAAGCUUU
rnacentral:lncRNA from 1 species